rnacentral:misc_RNA from 1 species
CAAAUCUCAAGCUCUGCUUGGUGUUGGGCCCUCGUCCGGAUUGGGCGGGCCCGAAAGCGAUAGGCGACGGCUGUCCGGCUUCGAGCGUGAUAAAGGUUCACACCCGCCGCUCUGGAAGUGCCUCGUGACUCCGGCCGCCUCGAAACCUCUAAGUUA